CCUACGGGAGGCUGCAGUGGGGAAUAUUGCACAAUGGGGGAAACCCUGAUGCAGCGACGCCGCGUGAGUGAGGAAGGAUCUAGGUAUGUUAAGCUCUUUCAGCAGGGAAGAAAAGAAUGGUACCUGUCCAAGAAGCCCCGUCUAACUACGUGCCAGCAGCCGUGGUAAUACGUACGCGGCCAGCGUUAUCCCGAUUUACCGGGUGUAAAGGGGGCGUAGACGGCUAAUCAAGUCAGAAGUGAAACUCCAGGGCUCAACCUUGGGACUGCUGUUGAAACUGGGUAGCUAGAGUGCAGGAGAGGUAAGCGGAAUGCGUGGUGUAGCGGUGAAAUGCGUAGAUAUUGGGAAGAACACCAAUGGCGAAGGCAGCUUACUGGACUCUAACUGACGUUGAGGCACGAAAGCGUGGGGAGCAAACAGGAUUAGAUACCCGAGUAGUC
rnacentral:rRNA from 1 species